UGAUUUGUAGCAAUACAGAUUGAUGGCGACCGGCGCACGGGUGAGUAACGCGUAUCCAACCUGCCCACCACUUGGGGAUAACCUUGCGAAAGUAAGACUAAUACCCAAUGACGUCUCUAGAAGACAUCUGAAGGAGAUUAAAGAUUUAUCGGUGAUGGAUGGGGAUGCGUCUGAUUAGCUUGUUGGCGGGGUAACGGCCCACCAAGGCUACGAUCAGUAGGGGUUCUGAGAGGGUGAACGGCCACAUUGGGACUGAGACACGGCCCAAACUCC
rnacentral:rRNA from 1 species